rnacentral:rRNA from 1 species
UACGUAGGGGGCAAGCGUUGUCCGGAAUCAUUGGGCGUAAAGAGCGUGUAGGCGGUUCGGUAAGUCGGCUGUGAAAGUCCAGGGCUCAACCCUGGGAUGCCGGUCGAUACUGCCGGACUAGAGUUCGGAAGAGGCGAGUGGAAUUCCCGGUGUAGCGGUGAAAUGCGCAGAUAUCGGGAGGAACACCUAUGGCGAAGGCAGCUCGCUGGGACGUUACUGACGACUGAGAACGCGAAAGCGUGGGGAGCAAACAGG